GCCCGGCUAGCUCAAUCGGUAGAGCGUGAGACUCUUAAGUAUUCACGUUCUGGAUAGCGCGCUUCACACCGCGAUCUCAAGGUUGUGGGUUCGACCCCCACGUCGGGCU